AGAGUUUGAUCCUGGCUCAGGACGAACGCUGGCGGCGUGCCUAAUACAUGCAAGUCGAGCGAGCUUGCCUAGAUGAUUUUAGUGCUUGCACUAAAUGAAACUAGAUACAAGCGAGCGGCGGACGGGUGAGUAACACGUGGGUAACCUGCCCAAGAGACUGGGAUAACACCUGGAAACAGAUGCUAAUACCGGAUAACAACACUAGACGCAUGUCUAGAGUUUGAAAGAUGGUUCUGCUAUCACUCUUGGAUGGACCUGCGGUGCAUUAGCUAGUUGGUAAGGUAACGGCUUACCAAGGCAAUGAUGCAUAGCCGAGUUGAGAGACUGAUCGGCCACAUUGGGACUGAGACACGGCCCAAACUCCUACGGGAGGCAGCAGUAGGGAAUCUUCCACAAUGGACGAAAGUCUGAUGGAGCAACGCCGCGUGAGUGAAGAAGGGUUUCGGCUCGUAAAGCUCUGUUGGUAGUGAAGAAAGAUAGAGGUAGUAACUGGCCUUUAUUUGACGGUAAUUACUUAGAAAGUCACGGCUAACUACGUGCCAGCAGCCGCGGUAAUACGUAGGUGGCAAGCGUUGUCCGGAUUUAUUGGGCGUAAAGCGAGUGCAGGCGGUUCAAUAAGUCUGAUGUGAAAGCCUUCGGCUCAACCGGAGAAUUGCAUCAGAAACUGUUGAACUUGAGUGCAGAAGAGGAGAGUGGAACUCCAUGUGUAGCGGUGGAAUGCGUAGAUAUAUGGAAGAACACCAGUGGCGAAGGCGGCUCUCUGGUCUGCAACUGACGCUGAGGCUCGAAAGCAUGGGUAGCGAACAGGAUUAGAUACCCUGGUAGUCCAUGCCGUAAACGAUGAGUGCUAAGUGUUGGGAGGUUUCCGCCUCUCAGUGCUGCAGCUAACGCAUUAAGCACUCCGCCUGGGGAGUACGACCGCAAGGUUGAAACUCAAAGGAAUUGACGGGGGCCCGCACAAGCGGUGGAGCAUGUGGUUUAAUUCGAAGCAACGCGAAGAACCUUACCAGGCCUUGACAUCCCCCCGGAUAUCCCGUAACGGGGGUAGCCCUCCGGGGCGGGGGAGACAGGUGGUGCAUGGUUGUCGUCAGCUCGUGUCGUGAGAUGUUGGGUUAAGUCCCGCAACGAGCGCAACCCUU
rnacentral:rRNA from 1 species